GAGCUGGAGGUGGAGCCGAAUCUCAGAGGUCCUGAGAUAGUCACUAUGGGGGAGAACGACCCGCCGGCUGCCGAAGGCCCCCUCUCCUUCAGAUCCCUUUUCGGCCUUGACAAUUUGAAAAUAAGUCCCGUUGCACCAGACGCAGAUGCAGUGGCUGCACAGAUCCUGUCACUGCUGCCAUUGAAGUUCUUCCCGAUCAUCGUCAUUGGGAUCAUCGCGUUGGUACUGGCGCUGGCCAUUGGUCUGGGCGUCCACUUCGACUGCUCUGGGAAGUACCGGUGCCGGUCAUCUUUCAAGUGUAUUGAAUUGACAGCUCGGUGCAACGGGGCCCCAGACUGCAAAGACGGGGAGGAUGAGUACCGGUGUGUCCGCCUGAGCGGGCAGAACGCCGUGCUGCAGGUGUUCACAGCUGCUGCCUGGAGGACCAUGUGCUCUGAUGACUGGCAAGGUCACCAUGCUAAUGUCGCCUGUGCCCAGAUGGGCUUUCCAAGCUCUGUCACUUCAGACACCCUCCUAGUGGACUCACUUGAGGAGCGGUUCCGAGAGGUCUUUGUGUCCAUCAAUCACCUCUUGCCAGAUGACAAAGUGACCGCUUUACACCAGUCGGUGUAUGUGAGGGAGGGCUGUGCCUCGGGUCGUGCGGUCACCUUGCAGUGCACAGCCUGUGGCCUGAGAAGGAACUACAGUUCGCGCAUCGUGGGUGGAAACGUGUCCUCGCUCAUGCAGUGGCCCUGGCAGGCCAGCCUUCAGUUCCAGGGCUACCACCUGUGUGGGGGCUCCAUCAUCACCCCCGUGUGGGUCGUCACCGCUGCCCACUGUGUCUAUGACCUAUACCUCCCCAAGUCAUGGACCAUCCAGGUGGGCCUAGUUUCCCUGCUGGACAGCCCAGCCCCUUCCCAACUGGUGGAGAAAAUCAUCUACCAUAGCAAGUACAAGCCGAAGAGGCUGGGCAACGAUAUCGCCCUCAUGAAGCUGGCUGGGCCCCUCACCUUCAAUGAGAUGAUCCAACCAGUUUGUCUGCCCAACUCUGAGGAGAACUUUCCUGAUGGAAAAACAUGCUGGACAUCUGGAUGGGGGGCCACAGAGGAUGGAGGUGAUGCCUCCCCUGUCCUCAACCAUGCAGCUGUGCCUUUAAUCUCCAACAAGAUCUGCAACCACAGGGACGUGUAUGGUGGCAUCAUCUCCCCCUCCAUGCUCUGUGCUGGCUACCUGAAAGGCGGCGUGGACAGCUGCCAGGGAGACAGCGGGGGGCCCCUGGUGUGUCAGGAGAGGCGAGUCUGGAAGUUGGUGGGAACCACAAGCUUUGGCAUCGGCUGUGCUGAGGCUAAUAAGCCUGGCGUCUACACCCGCAUCACCUCCUUCCUGGACUGGAUCCACGAGCAGAUGGAGAGGGACCUGAAAACUUGAAGGGAAAGGGGACAAGCCACCACCUCACAUUUCUGCCAUGAGGGAGACGUCCGCACCCUCCCAUGCGGGAACCGGCAACAGUGGGGCAAGGAGGAUCGGCUGCACGUCCCCCUACGUCUAGGACAACUUGCUCCUAACACCUCUAAGAGUCUUUUGGGCAACAGACUCUAAGGCCUUGAAGCUCCUUCCUGAGUCACUAUGACCAGGAGCAGGAAGGCCUCUGAAGUGCUAGCUUCCCCAUUUGUCCAUUUGGGUUCCUCUCCGGGGGUGUCAACACUCCUGACAGUGAGGGAACAGCCCUUCAGUAGAGCCGUGUUUUUCCCCAGGUCUUUGAAGGUAGUGGUGGCCUGUGCGUUGAAGGUCACGUGGGGAAAAGAUCAAAGACCUCACGUGGGAGCCUCUGCUGAGAGACCUCAACUGAGCCGGCAGCCACAGGUGUUUGAUGCCUGCGGUAACCUUAUUCUUCUUUAAUCACCACUGAGUGUUGUGAGGAAGUAUUUCCCUAGGAAAUAUAAGGUGGUGCCAAUGGUGGGCAAUUGGUGCGUGUGAACCACAUGCCUGGCACUGUCCCCCUAAGUCUCACAUGUUUACUCAUUUGUUGCAGCCCCUAUAAGGCAGGAGGAACCAUCCGUCCCGUUCCAGAGAUGAGGAAACAGGUGUAGAGAAGUGACUUCCCCAAACUACCCAUCGGGCCGGAGGGGCAUUGGGGGUUUGCACCAGGCUCAUCAUAGCAGGAGUUAAAGAAUGAGCUGAUAGCAAAGCUACACCCUUUGGCAUUUGAGUCUCAAGGGACUUUGUGCCAUCAAUUUGAACCCAUUGCAAUGUAUUAGUCAUUCAAAGUCACGACCUUCUCCAGAAAUAUUUGGUCUUGAUGGAGACAUUUGCUGGCGUGAGCUGCAGGUUGGUGGGUAGGACUGUUGUCGACUUGUUCCUCUUCUCCAAGGACACCGCUUAGCACCUACCUCUGGCAAGGCCAGUGGGGUCGGGACAGAAAGUUGUGGCCAGAGCACGCCUACCCUGGCCUGCCACCAGAGGAACAGCUGGAGGAGCAGGCUACAGAUGGAGCGGGCUGCCUCCCCUGGCGACUUAGCCCUGAAGACGGGACUGUGGGGCAUCCCUGUCCCAGUGCAGUGAAUGGGAGACCCCCACCUGUGUGCUGACAUCCACGGAAACAGUCCUCCUCUCUCAGGAACUGUAGUAUUUGAUACAGCUUUAUCUCCGCAUUGUAACAAGAUUACAGAAGCCUAAAGAUACUAUAGAAAGUUUGGAAAGGUGUGUUACAAAUCGGCCAACAAAUUAAACACUCCAGUUGGCCAUGAACACU